AACGAACGCUGGCGGCAGGCUUAAUACAUGCAAGUCGAACGCUCUCUUCGGAGAGAGUGGCAGACGGGUGAGUAACACGUGGGAACGUACCCUUCGGUUCGGAACAACACAGAGAAAUUUGUGCUAAUACCGGAUACGUCCGUAAGGAGAAAGAUUUAUCGCCGAAGGAUCGGCCCGCGUUAGAUUAGGUAGUUGGUGGGGUAAUGGCCUACCAAGCCGACGAUCUAUAGCUGGUCUGAGAGGAUGAUCAGCCACACUGGGACUGAGACACGGCCCAGACUCCUACGGGAGGCAGCAGUAGGGAAUAUUGGACAAUGGGCGAAAGCCUGAUCCAGCCAUGCCGCGUGAGUGAUGAAGGCCUUAGGGUUGUAAAGCUCUUUCAACGGUGAAGAUAAUGACGGUAACCGUAGAAGAAGCCCCGGCUAACUUCG
rnacentral:rRNA from 2 species